GACGAACGCUGGCGGCGUGCUUAACACAUGCAAGUCGAACGGGCCCGCUCUCUUUUUUGGGGGUGGGUUGAGUGGCGAACGGGUGAGUAUCACGUGAGUAACCUGCCCCCUGCUCCUGGAUAACUGCUUGAAAGGGCGGCUAAUACGGGGUGUGCCGGCUGGUCCGCAUGGGCCUGGUCGGGAUAGUUUCAUCUUCGGGUGUUUCGGUGGGGGAUGGGCUCGCGGCCUAUCAGCUUGUUGGUGGGGUGAUGGCCCACCAAGGCGGUGGCGGGUAGCCGGCCUGAGAGGGUGGGCGGCCACGCUGGGACUGAGACACGGCCCAGACUCCUGCGGGAGGCAGCAGUGGGGGGUAUUGCACAAUGGGCGGAAGCCUGAUGCAGCGACGUCGCGUGAGGGAUGGAGGCCUUCGGGUUGUGAACCUCUUUCUCCGGUGGUGAAGGCCCUGUCCGUUGCGGCGGGGUUGACGGUAGCCGGGUAUGAAGCGCCGGCUAACUACGUG
rnacentral:rRNA from 1 species